rnacentral:rRNA from 1 species
UACAGAGGGGGCAAGCGUUGUUCGGAAUUACUGGGCGUAAAGGGCGCGUAGGCGGCCUUCUAAGUCGAACGUGAAAUCCCCGGGCUCAACCCGGGAACUGCGUCCGAUACUGGGAGGCUUGAAUCCGGGAGAGGGAUGUGGAAUUCCAGGUGUAGCGGUGAAAUGCGUAGAUAUCUGGAGGAACACCGGUGGCGAAGGCGGCCCCCUGGACCGGUACUGACGCUGAGGCGCGAAGGCGUGGGUAGCAAACGGG